rnacentral:rRNA from 1 species
GGAAAGACCACAGGGAUUGCCCUAGUAACGGCGAGUGAAGCGGCAACAGCUCAAAUUUGAAAUCUGGCUCUUUCAGGGUCCGAGUUGUAAUUUGUAGAGGGUGCUUUGGAGUUGACUGUGGUCUAAGUUCCUUGGAACAGGACGUCGCAGAGGGUGAGAAUCCCGUAUGUGGCCGCCAGUCUUCUCCGUGUAAAGCCCCUUCGACGAGUCGAGUUGUUUGGGUAUGCAGCUCUAAAUGGGAGGUAAAUUUCUUCUAAAGCUAAAUAUUGGCCAGAGACCGAUAGCGCACAAGUAGAGUGAUCGAAAGAUGAAAAGCACUUUGGAAAGAGAGUCAAAAAGCACGUGAAAUUGUUGAAAGGGAAGCGCUUGCAGCCAGACUUGCCUGUAGUUGCUCAUCCGGGCUUUUGCCCGGUGCACUCUUCUAUAGGCAGGCCAGCAUCAGUCGCGGCGGUUGGAUAAAUGUCUGCACAAUGUACCUCUCUUCGGGGAGGACUUAUAGGGCAGGCGGCAUACAACCAGCUGCGAUUGAGGUCCGCGCAUCUGCUAGGAUGCUGGCGUAAUGGCUGUAAGCGGCCCGUCUUGAAACACGGACCAAGGAGUCUAACAUCUAUGCGAGUGUUUGGGUGUCAAGCCCGAGCGCGUAAUGAAAGUGAACGGAGGUGGGAACCCCUCGGGGUGCACCAUCGACCGAUCCUGAUGUCUUC